rnacentral:lncRNA from 1 species
AUUCAGCUCCAUCAGUUGCUGUCAUCACUCUUUUUUCUUUUCUAGGCAAAACUUGUUUUUUUCCCCUGAUCUCCUCCAUAGUCCCUAUCUUCUCAGUGUCUGUUUGGGCCAUUCCCAGUGUUCUUGCUGAGGCCUUAGGGGUGCUGAUUCAUGGCAGAAUUAGUUGAUUUUGACACUCCUUACACUCCUUGCCUGCAUAUCCAUGUAUCAUACUCAGUUUGCAGAGGUGUGCUGUCAACACCUGUUCAUUUAGACUCCCACUGUGCCUCCCUCACCCUUCUCCCCUUGCUGCCUGUGUUGUCACAGGUCAUGCCUCUGACUUCCAGCAAAGUGUACUGAGCUCCCUUAAUAGAGCUCCUCCAAUUUGUCCACAUAAAAUUCUCAUCCUCACCGCUGAGGUGCUCACAGUCCUUCUCAACCGGUGUUUUUGGACUAUGCAAUCUCCACCACAAUAUCCAGAGGAGGAAGUGCACGUCAGCUCAAAGGAUCUGAGACAGGAGAUACAAAACUGUGCAAGAACAGCUUUUACCUUGAGGACAGGCUGGAUCCAUGAGUAAACAAGCACAGCACAGAGACCAGCCUGCCUGGCUCUCCAGCAGAAAACGUCCUGCUGCGUGUUUUCCCAAAGAGCCACAUUUCAGAGGGGACAGCUCAUGGCCGAGGUGGAAUCCCUUGACUGGAGGAGUGAUUCUUCACAAGGACUGUGAGCCCUUCCCUGGAUACACCACAGGCUUCACCUUUCAGAGAAGGCUCUGCAGGCAGCUGGGGCUGCAAGGACAGUUUGUUCCUGUUUUUUGCAACUGCUUCACUAUAGAGAGAGGAUUUCAGUCUCCAAAACAAUUCUCUUGCACUAAUAGGAGGCAAAAGAAGUGGAACAAGCUCUUUGACAAAGAACUCAGUUGCCAAACAGGGAGGGCUGGCUGUGCUCUCCUGCGAGCAGCGAUGUCAAAGAAGCUGUUCCCAGCAGAUGGCACAAGAGUUCGAGCUGCUUCAGUCUGCUCUCGGCAGCCCGUACCUGCCCCCAGGUGUGCGGCUUCAGCUGCUGGGACCUGGAGAGUCGCCGUGUACUUCUGA